AAAGCAGUGAUGACGUAACAGAAGAACCUGCUUCAAUAAGGGUAUGUGACGUCACAGAAGAAUCGCAAAAGAUUUCUUCCCGCCUAAAAGACUAGACAAAGACGAAAAAAGGCGCAAGACGAAGAACAAAGACGACGACGCCAAUAUAAGGAUGCCGGUUUGAGGUUUUUUUAAGCUUAAGUGUGUAUAGGCCUAAUUAUAAGUGUGUAUAGGCCUACUAUAGGUGUGUAUAGGCUUAGUAUAGGUGGUACGCGCGAAGAAAGAAGAUCAAAGACGCCGACAAAGGAUGUCGGUUUCAGGUGGUUUAUAGGCUUAGUGUUUAAGUAUGAAUGUUUGCGUGUUUAGCUGGUGCACUCCUACAGUGUUGCCAGUUAUUUUUUGCUGGGCCUAAUGUUGCCAGCUAUGUCCCCCAAGCACUUUUCAGUGCUUCUACAUGUCUUUGAAAUAAAUGCAAAGGAAUUGUUGUAACAAUCUUACUUGAUAAAGAUUAGCAUCUACUGUAGUGUUCAUUCCUUCC